UCGGAGUCGCCUUAAGGAUGAAGCUGUUAAACAUGCUGAGCUCAUCACUGCAGUCACUGCAGCAGACCAAGACUGCCGGGCAUUCCACCUACGGCUUUCACAUUCAAAACAACUGAAACAACGAAGUUUCUCUGCAGCUGAAUCGUCAUUCAUAAAUCUGGCUAUGCCAUGAUGUGUGGUGUCACUGGCCAUUGCUAAUGCUAACAUCUGUAGGGUGCUGAAAUCCUUCCCACGCAAAGAAACAAAAUUGGAUAAUGAGGGAUAACCCUGUGAAAAACCAUUCCAAAACAAAGGCAGAGCAGGAGCCCGGUCUCGUGUGUGGCGGCCGGGGAUGUCAGAAGCACGCUUUCACCCUCAAAGUGCCUUCGGCUACAAGAUAAGCCUCUCAGGCUCGCGGCGCUGCACCUUAAUGAUGAGUGAAGACACUAGGUCAGGUAUAUUACCUUAAAGGAGAGGCCCAGCUGCAGCAUGUUGCUACUCCAGGCUGUCUAACUGACUGAAUGAGGACAGCACUGUACACCGGAAAGAAAGAAAAACACCAGAGCAUG